rnacentral:rRNA from 1 species
AAAUGCACAGGCUGUGAACUCGAUGAGUAGGGCGGGACACGUGACAUCCUGUCUGAAUAUGGGGGGACCAUCCUCCAAGGCUAAAUACUCCUGACUGACCGAUAGUGAACCAGUACCGUGAGGGAAAGGCGAAAAGAACCCCGGCGAGGGGAGUGAAAUAGAACCUGAAACCGUGUACGUACAAGCAGUGGGAGCACCUUCGUGGUGUGACUGCGUACCUUUUGUAUAAUGGGUCAGCGACUUAUAUUUUGUAGCAAGGUUAACCGAAUAGGGGAGCCGUAGGGAAACCGAGUCUUAACUGGGCGUCUAGUUGCAAGGUAUAGACCCGAAACCCGGUGAUCUAGCCAUGGGCAGGUUGAAGGUUGGGUAACACUAACUGGAGGACCGAACCGACUAAUGUUGAAAAAUUAGCGGAUGACUUGUGGCUGGGGGUGAAAGGCCAAUCAAACCGGGAGAUAGCUGGUUCUCCCCGAAAGCUAUUUAGGUAGCGCCUCGUGAACUCAUCUUCGGGGGUAGAGCACUGUUUCGGCUAGGGGGCCAUCCCGGCUUACCAAACCGAUGCAAACUCCGAAUACCGAAGAAUGUUAUCACGGGAGACACACGGCGGGUGCUAACGUCCGUCGUGAAGAGGGAAACAACCCAGACCGCCAGCUAAGGUCCCAAAGUCAUGGUUAAGUGGGAAACGAUGUGGGAAGGCACAGACAGCCAGGAUGUUGGCUUAGAAGCAGCCAUCAUUUAAAGAAAGCGUAAUAGCUCACUGGUCGAGUCGGCCUGCGCGGAAGAUGUAACGGGGCUAAACCAUGCACCGAAGCUGCGGCAGCGACGUUUAGGCGUUGUUGGGUAGGGGAGCGUUCUGUAAGCCGUUGAAGGUGACCUGUG